CAAAAGAGUGAGAAGAGCUUUAAGUAGAGGUGAUAAACCUAUCGAGCACAGUUAUAGCUGGUUGCCUGAGAAGUGGAUAAAAGUUCAGCCCUUAUAUACUUCCCCUACCACACAAAAUUAUAAAGACAAAGGAAGAUUAAGGAGUUAGACAGAAGGGGUACAGCUCUUCUGAAAAAAGAAACAACUUUAGUAGGUGAACCAGAAUCAUAUUAAUUAAGGACUAAAACUUAAGUGGGCCUAAAAGCAGCCACCUUCAAAGAAAGCGUUAAAGCUCCAACUAUUAAACCCCCUCUUAUACUGAUAUCUAACUUUCCACCCCUACUAUUUACCAGGUUAUCUUAUGCUUUCAUAAGAAUAAUUAUGCUAAAAUGAGUAAUAAGAAGAAACUUCUUCUCCCAGCAUCCGUGUAAAUCAGACCGGACCACCCACCGAUUAUUACACGACCCCAAACCCAGAGGGCCAUAAGCUAUAAAAGCAAGAAAACCACUUAAUUAACAUCGUUAACCCCACACAGGAAUGCACAAAGGAAAGACUAAAAGGAAAGAAAGGAACUCGGCAAACUCAAGCCUCGCCUGUUUACCAAAAACAUCGCCUCUUGACCAACACAACAUAAGAGGUCUCGCCUGCCCAGUGACUUAGUGUUAAACGGCCGUGGUAUCUUAACCAUGCGAAGGUAGCGUAAUCAUUUGUCUUUUAAAUGAAGACCUGUAUGAAUGGCAAAACGAGGGCUUAACUGUCUCUCUCCCCCAGUCAAUGAAAUUGAUCUCCCCGUGCAGAAGCGGGGAUAAAACUAUAAGACGAGAAGACCCUGUGGAGCUUUAGACUUAAAAUAGCCCUGUAAAAUAAACUUUAAUACAAGCAUAAACCUAAGGAGCCCUAUUUAAAUGUCUUUGGUUGGGGUGACCACGGGGUAAAACACAACCCCCACGAAGAUUGGGGACAUACCCCUAACACCAAGAGACACCCCUUCCUACUUUUCAAAAUUUUUGACUUUAAAAAUGAUCCGGUAUAACCGAUUAACGGACCCAGUUACCCCAGGGAUAACAGCGCAAUCCCUUCCCAGAGCCCUUAUCGACGAAGGGGUUU
rnacentral:rRNA from 1 species